GGGUUGUGAGGUUAAGCGACUAAGCGUACACGGUGGAUGCCCUGGCAGUCAGAGGCGAUGAAGGACGUGCUAAUCUGCGAUAAGCGUCGGUAAGGUGAUAUGAACCGUUAUAACCGGCGAUUUCCGAAUGGGGAAACCCAGUGUGUUUCGACACACUAUCAUUAACUGAAUCCAUAGGUUAAUGAGGCGAACCGGGGGAACUGAAACAUCUAAGUACCCCGAGGAAAAGAAAUCAACCGAGAUUCCCCAGUAGCGGCGAGCGAACGGGGAGCAGCCCAGAGCCUGAAUCAGUGUGUGUGUUAGUGGAAGCGUCUGGAAAGGCGCGCGAUACAGGGUGACAGCCCCGUACACAAAAAUGCACAUGCUGUGAGCUCGAUGAGUAGGGCGGGACACGUGGUAUCCUGUCUGAAUAUGGGGGGACCAUCCUCCAAGGCUAAAUACUCCUGACUGACCGAUAGUGAACCAGUACCGUGAGGGAAAGGCGAAAAGAACCCCGGCGAGGGGAGUGAAAAAGAACCUGAAACCGUGUACGUACAAGCAGUGGGAGCACGCUUAGGCGUGUGACUGCGUACCUUUUGUAUAAUGGGUCAGCGACUUAUAUUCUGUAGCAAGGUUAACCGAAUAGGGGAGCCGAAGGGAAACCGAGUCUUAACUGGGCGUUAAGUUGCAGGGUAUAGACCCGAAACCCGGUGAUCUAGCCAUGGGCAGGUUGAAGGUUGGGUAACACUAACUGGAGGACCGAACCGACUAAUGUUGAAAAAUUAGCGGAUGACUUGUGGCUGGGGGUGAAAGGCCAAUCAAACCGGGAGAUAGCUGGUUCUCCCCGAAAGCUAUUUAGGUAGCGCCUCGUGAAUUCAUCUCCGGGGGUAGAGCACUGUUUCGGCAAGGGGGUCAUCCCGACUUACCAACCCGAUGCAAACUGCGAAUACCGGAGAAUGUUAUCACGGGAGACACACGGCGGGUGCUAACGUCCGUCGUGAAGAGGGAAACAACCCAGACCGCCAGCUAAGGUCCCAAAGUCAUGGUUAAGUGGGAAACGAUGUGGGAAGGCCCAGACAGCCAGGAUGUUGGCUUAGAAGCAGCCAUCAUUUAAAGAAAGCGUAAUAGCUCACUGGUCGAGUCGGCCUGCGCGGAAGAUGUAACGGGGCUAAACCAUGCACCGAAGCUGCGGCAGCGACGCUUAUGCGUUGUUGGGUAGGGGAGCGUUCUGUAAGCCUGUGAAGGUGUGCUGUGAGGCAUGCUGGAGGUAUCAGAAGUGCGAAUGCUGACAUAAGUAACGAUAAAGCGGGUGAAAAGCCCGCUCGCCGGAAGACCAAGGGUUCCUGUCCAACGUUAAUCGGGGCAGGGUGAGUCGACCCCUAAGGCGAGGCCGAAAGGCGUAGUCGAUGGGAAACAGGUUAAUAUUCCUGUACUUGGUGUUACUGCGAAGGGGGGACGGAGAAGGCUAUGUUGGCCGGGCGACGGUUGUCCCGGUUUAAGCGUGUAGGCUGGUUUUCCAGGCAAAUCCGGAAAAUCAAGGCUGAGGCGUGAUGACGAGGCACUACGGUGCUGAAGCAACAAAUGCCCUGCUUCCAGGAAAAGCCUCUAAGCAUCAGGUAACAUCAAAUCGUACCCCAAACCGACACAGGUGGUCAGGUAGAGAAUACCAAGGCGCUUGAGAGAACUCGGGUGAAGGAACUAGGCAAAAUGGUGCCGUAACUUCGGGAGAAGGCACGCUGAUAUGUAGGUGAAGUCCCUCGCGGAUGGAGCUGAAAUCAGUCGAAGAUACCAGCUGGCUGCAACUGUUUAUUAAAAACACAGCACUGUGCAAACACGAAAGUGGACGUAUACGGUGUGACGCCUGCCCGGUGCCGGAAGGUUAAUUGAUGGGGUUAGCCGCAAGGCGAAGCUCUUGAUCGAAGCCCCGGUAAACGGCGGCCGUAACUAUAACGGUCCUAAGGUAGCGAAAUUCCUUGUCGGGUAAGUUCCGACCUGCACGAAUGGCGUAAUGAUGGCCAGGCUGUCUCCACCCGAGACUCAGUGAAAUUGAACUCGCUGUGAAGAUGCAGUGUACCCGCGGCAAGACGGAAAGACCCCGUGAACCUUUACUAUAGCUUGACACUGAACAUUGAGCCUUGAUGUGUAGGAUAGGUGGGAGGCUUUGAAGUGUGGACGCCAGUCUGCAUGGAGCCGACCUUGAAAUACCACCCUUUAAUGUUUGAUGUUCUAACGUUGACCCGUAAUCCGGGUUGCGGACAGUGUCUGGUGGGUAGUUUGACUGGGGCGGUCUCCUCCUAAAGAGUAACGGAGGAGCACGAAGGUUGGCUAAUCCUGGUCGGACAUCAGGAGGUUAGUGCAAUGGCAUAAGCCAGCUUGACUGCGAGCGUGACGGCGCGAGCAGGUGCGAAAGCAGGUCAUAGUGAUCCGGUGGUUCUGAAUGGAAGGGCCAUCGCUCAACGGAUAAAAGGUACUCCGGGGAUAACAGGCUGAUACCGCCCAAGAGUUCAUAUCGACGGCGGUGUUUGGCACCUCGAUGUCGGCUCAUCACAUCCUGGGGCUGAAGUAGGUCCCAAGGGUAUGGCUGUUCGCCAUUUAAAGUGGUACGCGAGCUGGGUUUAGAACGUCGUGAGACAGUUCGGUCCCUAUCUGCCGUGGGCGCUGGAGAACUGAGGGGGGCUGCUCCUAGUACGAGAGGACCGGAGUGGACGCAUCACUGGUGUUCGGGUUGUCAUGCCAAUGGCACUGCCCGGUAGCUAAAUGCGGAAGAGAUAAGUGCUGAAAGCAUCUAAGCACGAAACUUGCCCCGAGAUGAGUUCUCCCUGACUCCUUGAGAGUCCUGAAGGAACGUUGAAGACGACGACGUUGAUAGGCCGGGUGUGUAAGCGCAGCGAUGCGUUGAGCUAACCGGUACUAAUGAACCGUGAGGCUUAACCUUACAACGCCGAAGGUGUUU
rnacentral:rRNA from 1 species